ensembl:lncRNA
AGGGUUGGGGCAACUUCCCUGGCACCAUGGAAACACUGCCCAGCAUCCAGUGCUGUGUCUAACCUGCCGGAAACCCCUGUGCUGGAUGGGAGGGGAGCUAGAGGGUGUGGCAGAGGAAAGGGAGCUCAAUGAGAGCCGCCAACUGGAGCCGCUCCUAAGUAGGGCUUCAGGCAGCCCAGUCUGUGGUCAGCCCUGCCUCAGGUCCUGUCCAUCUGUCUCAUGAUCUGAAAGAGCCACCUCUAGGCUGGAGCGGGGACGUAAUUGACGGGAAAGUUGUAGCUGAGGGAAGCACUCUGGAAAAAUAGAAAGCCCUGGGAGGCAGGAGUUCCCAGGAAGAUGGGACCCAUCCUUGCUCAGCCACCAACUGUAUGUGUGAUGCUGGAAAGGCAACCUGCCCCCUCUGAGCCUCCAUUUCUUCCUCUGCAGAAGAAGAAAAAUAGCCCUUCUAUUUUCAUCUUUGGAAUCGCCAUUUGUCAUUCUCAAGGUGCCUCCGCGCCUUUGUCUCUGGCGUCAGCUGGCAGCAGUGUUGCUAAAAAUAGCCGGCGGAGGGACCCGCGCUACACACUGAACAUUAAAAAUAGAAAGGGAAGCUCUGGUGUGAAUAAUGCAUAGGAGAGAAUCCCGCUCCCGCCGGCCUCCAGGUCCUCCGGGGGCCUGGCGGCGGAGCCGAGCCCCGCCAGGCAGGGAGGAUCAAGGCCUUUGUUUGGCCCAGGCUUCUGUGAAAAGGCAGCCUGCAAAUGACAGCCGGCCCCUCGGCCCGCCUCGGGCAGGGACGGAGGAGAAGAAAUGGAGCUUCGGACCAGCGUUCUGGAAUGCACAUCUGGGGUCUGAUUCCUAAGCACAAACUUACAAGAACAAAGGAGGGAGUGGGUCUGUGACAGGGCAGGGAGAGCAGCCCUGUCCCAAGCCUCGGAGUGUCUUUUCAGAUACACUGCCGGACAAGGAUCCCGCUGGAGGUGGUCAUGAUAAGUGAAAUAUGUCCCAAAGAGAAAGACAAAGACGCUAUGACCUCACUUAUAUGUGGAAUCUAACGUAUGGCACAGAUGAACCUGUCUACCAAGCAGAAACAGACUCAUGGUCAGAGACCAGCCUUGUGGUUGCCAAGGGGGCGGGGAGGAUGGGCUGGGAGUUUGGGAUCAGCAGGUGCAAAUUGCUACCUAGAGGAUGGGUAAAUAACAAGGUCCUAAGGUAUACAGCCCAGGGAACUCUCUUCAAUACCUUGUGAUAAACCAUAAUGAAGAAGAAUAUGAAAAAGAA